rnacentral:rRNA from 1 species
AUUGAACGCUGGCGGCAGGCCUAACACAUGCAAGUCGAGCGGCAGCGGGAAAGUAGCUUGCUACUUUUGCCGGCGAGCGGCGGACGGGUGAGUAAUGCCUGGGGAUCUGCCCAGUCGAGGGGGAUAACAGUUGGAAACGACUGCUAAUACCGCAUACGCCCUACGGGGGAACGCAGGGGACCUCCGGGCCUUGCGCGAUUGGAUGAACCCAGGUGGGAUUAGCUAGUUGGUGAGGUAAUGGCUCACCAAGGCGACGAUCCCUAGCUGGUCUGGGAGGAUGAUCAGCCACACUGGAACUGAGACACGGUCCAGACUCCUACGGGAGGCAGCAGUGGGGAAUAUUGCACAAUGGGGGAAACCCUGAUGCAGCCAUGCCGCGUGUGUGAAGAAGGCCUUCGGGUUGUAAAGCACUUUCAGCGAGGAGGAAAGGUUGGUAGCUAAUAACUGCCAGCUGUGACGUUACUCGCAGAAGAAGCACCGGCUAACUCCGUGCCAGCAGCCGCCGUAACAC